AUUGAACGCUGGCGGCAUGCUUUACACAUGCAAGUCGAACGGCAGCGCGGGGCAACCUGGCGGCGAGUGGCGAACGGGAGAGUAAUAUAUCGGAACGUACCCAGAAGUGGGGGAUAACGUAGCGAAAGUUACGCUAAUACCGCAUACGAUCUACGGAUGAAAGUAGGGGACCGCAAGGCCUUAUGCUUUUGGAGCGGCCGAUAUCUGAUUAGCUAGUUGGUGUGGUAAAGGCUCACCAAGGCGACGAUCAGUAGCUGGUCUGAGAGGACGACCAGCCACACUGGAACUGAGAAACGGUCCAGACUCCUACGGGGGGCAGCAGUGGGGAAUUUUGGACAAUGGGCGCAAGCCGGAUCCAGCAAGGCCGCGUGAGUGAAGAAGGCCUUCGGGUUGUAAAGCUCUUUUGUCAGGGAAGAAACGGUAGAGGCUAAUAUCCUUUGCUAAUGACGGUACCUGAAGGAUAAGCACCGGCUAACUACGUG
rnacentral:rRNA from 1 species